rnacentral:rRNA from 1 species
GACGAACGCUGGCGGCGUGCUUAACACAUGCAAGUCGAACGAAGAGCGACGGAAGCUUGCUUCUAUCAAUCUUAGUGGCGAACGGGUGAGUAACGCGUAAUCAACCUGCCCUUCAGAGGGGGACAACAGUUGGAAACGACUGCUAAUACCGCAUACGAUCUAAUCUCGGCAUCGAGGAUGGAUGAAAGGUGGCCUCUACAUGUAAGCUAUCACUGAAGGAGGGGAUUGCGUCUGAUUAGCUAGUUGGAGGGGUAACGGCCCACCAAGGCGAUGACCAGUAGCCGGUCUGAGAGGAUGAACGGCCACAUUGGGACUGAGACACGGCCCAGACUCCUACGGGAGGCAGCAGUGGGGAAUCUUCCGCAAUGGACGAAAGUCUGACGGAGCAACGCCGCGUGAGUGAUGACGGCCUUCGGGUUGUAAAGCUCUGUUAAUCGGGACGAAAGGCCUUCUUGCGAAUAGUGAGAAGGAUUGACGGUACCGGAAUAGAAAGCCACGGCUAACUACGUG